rnacentral:rRNA from 1 species
GCCUGGUUAGUACUUGGAUGGGAGACCGCCUGGGAAUACCUGGU